ensembl:lncRNA
AGACCAAUAUAGGAUAUGCGUCGUGUUUGAUAUAAAGAAGCAUGGAUACUAUGUGAAGGCAGCGGCCGACCGCAAGCCCUUGAAGAUAAGCAAUGCCGGGACAAUUAAGAGCAAAUUCAACCCUGGCCAGCUGGACAUCCGUAUAUAUUAUGCGUCUACGGAGAAGGUGCUGAAGUCCCUUGACUUUGGCUACAUUGAGAAACCCUCCAUCCCGAACUCAGUGGAGGAGGCCCUGGUUCCAGAAUCUGUUGCGAGGCGGCGACUGGAGGUGGAGCAGCAGGAGGAGGUGGAGCAGCAGGAGGAGGAGGUGGAGCAGGAGGGGAUCACCACGGUGCGGGGACCAGUCUGUGGCAUCCAACUAGCUGACCAACGGCAGUGCAGCAGCUGCCACGAAGGGCAGCUGGCCUUCAACAUAAAGGCCAUAAACCAUCGCUGCGAGGCCUGUGGCUUCUAUCAGAAGGUCGGGUCAUAUGUAAAGGCUGCCACCGGGACAGUCUGGGGGAAUGUGAAACUCACGUUGAAAUUGACCUCGACUGUCCUGAUGACAUACCUGAGUCAAAACAACCUCCAGGAGCUGCUUGCAGAUGUGCAGUUGGUGGAGGAGCACUUUUUGGAAGUGGGGGUGUUUGUAAUCCAAUACAAUGCCAACAAUGAGGUUGUCGUUGUCACAACAGGGAAUGUUUGAAUACAGGAUGGUCGUAAUUAAUAGCAGAUUAAGAAGUCGUAUCAUAAUAAU